ensembl:lncRNA
GAGGCGCCAUUUGCUUCUUGUUACUCAUCUUUGCAAAUGUCUCUUGUCUUCCCAGGCUCUGCCCUGAUGUGUUAGCAUUAGCUGCCUGUGGAUUUCUGAGCCGCGCUGAAACGGGGACUCAGAGCGGCCAACCUAAGUUGGUCAAGCAGAGAUGGCAGUGUGAAGCAAAGGAGGAAGACAAAAAUAAGAUCAAGUGAAGUGUAUGAUACAAGAUCUUCGUGUGCACAUAAACAGUAUCAGGCUUGAGCAUAAUCUUAUAAUACCAAUAAAUGAAAAAUAUGCAUUGAGGGAAUCAAUAUACUGAUGGUAUGACUUUUUGGAACAAGGUUCAUCUUGUGAUAGCAAAUUAAUUUAUGUUUUACUUAACAUAAAAUUUUCUUUAGCCUUAACUCAGAAGUAAAUUGCUCUUUUAAGACUUAGGAUUUUGUUUUUAAAUAAUUAACAGAGAAAAAUGAACAUCAACACUUUUAAAUUAAUUUGACAACAAUAGCCUUUUGAGGUAUAAAUACAACCAUUUGUGCCAUUCAAGCAAUAAAAUUAACAAUAAGGGUACAGUGUGAAAUAGGUUUUAGUAUAUCUGUCUCAACCGAGGGACAUGGCAUCCUCACUGCAGCCGGGAAGCACUCACACUUCCAAAGACUGACUAAAUCCCAGGAAUAUUCAGGUUUCCUCAAAAGCCUCUCUUACAGAGCAAUAAUUUGAAUUACAAGUAGCUAUUAAAAAAUAGCAAAUUAAAUGUGGAGAAUCCUCCACUUAUGCAGGAGGGGAAGAGAUUUUUAAAGUUUCCUUUCCUAAAACAGAUUUUGUUUUUUAUUUUCCUUUCCCUUGUCCCCCCAUAGAGUUCCUAUGGAAUAUAUGCAUCACAGCUACUUAAAAGUUGGACAGUAAGAGCAGAAAUGUCAACUAAAGGACAUUAUUCAGUACGAAACAUCUGCACCAAGUUGUGGAAUCAUGGCUGGUUGCAAAGCAGAGCUCCAGGCUAGAGGCCAAGUAACACAGGGUAUGAGCAGCUUCAGAAAUAACCACCAUUCAGGUUGUUUACUGCAAGGAGCUCUCGAAGGAAACCAGCAAAUUAAGGAAAGCCAAGUUGAGAUGCUGGAGUGGAGCACAGAGGAGCAACAGGGACAUGAGAUUUUCAUUACUGCAAUGCCUUCUACAGGCUUUCCCUCUGCCUCUGUACUUGCAGGAAGAAAAUCUCUUGGGGACAACCUAGUUACAGACAUUUUUGUUUCCAUUUGGACCAUCCUGCUUCCUGCUGAAAAUGAGCAACCGACUUCACUGGAACCUUUCUACAGAUUGCUCAGGUUCAUGAUUUUCAAGAAGAGAGAGGAUUUACAUAUGUGA